AACGAACGCUGGCGGCAUGCCUAACACAUGCAAGUCGAACGAGACCUUCGGGUCUAGUGGCGCACGGGUGCGUAACACGUGGGAAUUUGCCUCGGGGUAUGGAAUAACUCAGGGAAACUUGAGCUAAUACCAUAUAAUGUCUUCGGACCAAAGAUUUAUCGCCCUGAGAUAAGCCCACGUAGGAUUAGCUAGUUGGUGAGGUAAAGGCUCACCAAGGCGACGAUCCUUAGCUGGUCUGAGAGGAUGAUCAGCCACACUGGGACUGAGACACGGCCCAGACUCCUACGGGAGGCAGCAGUGGGGAAUUUUGGACAAUGGGCGCAAGCCUGAUCCAGCAAUGCCGCGUGCAGGAUGAAGGCCU
rnacentral:rRNA from 1 species